UCUUUCUGUAAGUGUAGAUGAGGACCUGAAAGGUGUCUGUGCAGGGUUUCACAGGGUGUGCUGUGUGAUUGUAUAUAGGUCUAACAUUACUUAUAAUCAUGAAUACAAUUACCAUUCUUCUGUGUACCCUCGCCAUGCCGGUCAUAAGCCAAACUAAUGAAAUCGUUCCUGUGAGAAUCCUGUCCCAACAGAAAAGUAUAAGUGAGAAUAGUAACCUAUAUGUAACCUGCAGCACAUUUGGGUUCAAGAAAAACCAACAAAAGGUUUUUGUCUAUUUAUGUAAGGACGGCCUUGGAAUCCUUAAACUGGUGCAGAAGCAAGAUCAACACGAUACCACCUUCACCAUGUACAAUGUUGGUCGUAAUUACAGUGGAAAUUACAGCUGUGCUUACUCUAGAGCAGAGUAUAAGCCUUCUGAAGUAGCUACGAAAGGACACAACAUCAUCCAGAUUCUAGUUAUAGCCAAUUUUCUCCCUGCAGAUAUUUCAGUAGCUGGCCAAUCUACUGUCAACGAGGGAGACAAUGUCGAAUUCAGGUGUACUGUCUCUGACACCCUGCAAACACUCGGCAAAUGUCAGCUCAUCCAGUCUUACCUGAGGAGGAAUGAGAUUGUCCUCCAAGUGCAAGUGUUUAAUGUCACUCGGAUGGAGACGACUUUCACUAUUGAGGAUGCCGUCACAAGGGACACGGGUCAUUACAGCUGCGUGGUGCUGCCGUCUAAAUGCAUCCAGUCGCAUGAAAAAACACUCCAUGGAAAAAACGCAGUAUUCCUUGAGGUCAAAGUGAAUUUGCUUUUACGUGUGGCUGUCUCUUGUGGAGUGAUAUCCCUGAUGUUAUUACUGUGUGUGUGUCUGUGGUGGAUCACAAAAAAACAAGGCCACUCAGGUUUACACAAUCAAUGCACAGUGAGUCAGCAGGCCAAUACAGGCAUGGUGGAGGAGGAGCUGGGGCAGACAGAGGGACAGGAUCUGGAAGCACAAGACGAAGAAUCUUUCAGCAUGGGGGAGGAAAAAGGAUAUCAGAAUGGCAUGGCUGCUGAAGACUCAACUUACUCUGAUGAUUAUGAGGAAUGAUGAAGAGGGAUUGUACAGUAUUGUCGAUGAGAGUGGUGAUGAGUAUGAGAACUUAGAUCAGAUGUAUACCAACGGACACAUUUUCAGUGAUAAAAGAUGAUCCACCUGCAAUACCAAUUCCAUCAGCUGUGUAUGCCAUGUCCAUCAGACGGAAGUGAAGUGAAGUUAAAGACAUAACUUAACACCUGCCUUUGCUGCACCCCUGUGUUAUUCACAGCUAUUCCAUGGAAGAAAGGCAAAGUUAAUGAACAACUGUAGAUGUUUUCUGGAAGUACAGUGGCUAUGGAACAUGUGAACUCUACUCUACAUAUGUUUCUUUUUUAACCAUGAACAGUAUAAGUGUUGAUUUCAUAAUUCUGUUGAGUCAUUUUAUUGUGUGUGUUGUGAACAAAUAUUUGUUGCAUUUAAUCAGACACAUUUGUUCUUUGUUGAUUCCAUUGUCCAAUCAUGCAUAGAAUGAUACUUUUAUAAGCAUACUUUUGAUUACAUGUGCAUUGCAGUAAUUGCUACUUUGUAGUUUUCAAUUUUGGUGACAGGGUCCACCGUAUCCUCUCUGGUUUCAAAUUGCCUACCUACACACAAUCCUGCUUGACUUUCUGUAAUUGUAUCUCAUGGAUAACACCGGUGCUAGCUAAACAUUUCCUACUGCUGUUGCUCCCUAUCAAAAGCAUUCGGAUAGCAAAAUGCAGGAUGGUUUUGUGAAAUGCAAUGUAUUUAUCCUCUAGCUCUGACAUCAGCUUAAUCAAAAAUAAAAUCUUGUCUACAAAACAAGAUUUUUUU